GCUCCAGGGCUUCCCUGCCUGGGGCCGCUGACCCCCGCCCUGCACUUCUCCGUUGAUAUUUGUGGAAUGAGUGAACGAGCUAAUGACUCUGCCUCUGAGGUCCUGUGAGCGCUUCUAGUUCAACACGUACCAGGUGGUCUGCUCUCCGCCGCCAUUCUCCUCUGCCUCCCAACUUAGAAACCCAGGUCAGCCCAGAGGGCCUGCUCCUCACAGGUAAACUACUCACUCUUAUGUCCUGCCCCGGUGCCUGCAUGCUCGGUGCCACCUGCCCAGUGCCCAGCUGCCCCACUCCAGCCGUGCCACCUCCUCGGGCUCCCUGCCUGUCUCUACACCCGCUCCUCUGCCCACACUGCCACUGGGCAUCUGUUCUUAGUGGUCAGUCCCACUGUGCUGACCCCUCCUUAAAAUGCUCCUUGUGUCCACACCCCACAGUUGUGUUUCCAAAGUGUCGGACUCACGAUGGGUGGCACUUGGCAUACUUGCAGGAGGCCGAGGGUCUCCUAUGUGAGAGCCGAGUCCUCUAAGUGACAGUGAACAGGAGCAGGACACGAGGAGCUGUUUCUUUCCCAGCUCUGUCGAGCCUUCAGAUUGCACCAAGGAGAAGGUUUCCAGCGAUGCUUGUCUCCCCUCUUUGGCUAACCCCUUCUUUCAGCAGGAAUCAGGCUGCAGCCAGCUGGCAGCUAGCACGCUAGCUCGAAUGCAGAGGCAGCGAGGUCUUGUUUUCAUUCUGUUUAGUUUACAGUUACAGUAUCUACUAUCUGCAACACGGGCUGUGGAGUUUCUAGCUAUAGUGCUAAAGUCCCAUAAAUUAAAAUUUAUCCACAGAAGAUACCCAUCAAAGGGCCAAUCUAGUGUCCAGGAUACAUAAAGCGAUCUUAAUUAUCAAUGAGAGAAAUCAAUAGAAAUUGAAAUAGAAAGACUCGGUCUUCACAAAGAGGAUACACGAGAUCCUUAAGUGCCAAGUUCAUCAGUCAUCUGAGAAAUGCAAAGUAAAGUCGCAGUGCCACAUUACUGACUCCCACCAGGGCUGACUCGAAGCUCACAGCCUCCAAUGCUGACCAGGGUGUGGAGUGUCCCAGGCAGGUAGGACAAACUGACAACUUAGGAAACAGUGGCCUCAACCAGAACUCAGCCACACUCAGCCAGGAAUUCAGUUCCUGGGGGUGAUUCCAACAGGAGGGAGUAAAAGCACUGACCAGAAGUCUCGCAUACAAGUGUGCACAACAGCUACGCAAAACAGCCCCAAACAGACCACAGUCAGAAACUGCUGUGUGUUCCUAGGAUGGAGUGGGUAUGAAAGAGAACUGAUGGAUUAAAGAAAAUCCCUAUUGCAUCAAAGAAGCCAAACUGGAAGAACAAUUCUGCUUCCAUCCAUGCCAAGAUCAGAGGGAGGUAAAACUAAAGCAUUCUUAAGCCUCAGACCCAGGUCUCCUGUGGCCUGGAGGAGGCGCUGCGCCCCAGCCAGUCUGCCUUCCCACGUGAAAAUCAUUUUCCCCAACCGUGUACUUCUUCGCACACACCUGACACAUCAAGGAAAAUUGCCUAGGGCUGGGGAGGAGCUCCAUGGUCCAGUGAGUGCUCAGCACCACAAGGCCUAAGAUUCAGUUCCCAGUGCCAAAAAGAAGAAAAACAGUGACCUACAGUCAGGCUUCUAAACAACGGACUGUUUAAGACAAACAUCAGAAACCCCUCGCUCAGGCUGUAACGGUCCUGCAGGCAGAGCCCACGGUGGCACGGGGACCAGAGCCUCACUGGGCAGUUCAGCCUCAAGCCACACAGCUGCCAGCUGGCACCAGGGGCACAGAGUGAGAUCCUGGGAACGUGAGUUGGGAUGUGAGCUUGCCUGGCCGCUGGGCUCUAGGCAGGUCGCCCGACACCCUGGGCUCAGCCUCCUCACCUGCAAACCAGGCUGGCAGAGCAGCAGCUCAGACACAGGGCCACCCCUGUUCCUGCUCGGCCUGGCUGAGCCCUGCCAUGCCCUGGUGUCUGAUUGUCCUUCCACCUGGGGUGACAGGGCCUUUCCCCCGUGUGGCCUCUCACCCCCACCCCUGCCUGCGGACACGGAUACCCCAGCCGCCAUGGUCUGUGCUGCUGUGUGUGCAGUCCACUCUUUCUGUGCUGGCAGGCCCUGGACUUGGCUCGUAGGACCAGGCUUGGACACCUCCUCCUUGAUGGAAAAAUGGGCGUUCUUCAAAUGACUAUCACCUCGCUGAGUCCCAGUCAGGACCUGGUUCCUUCUUCACAAUGCAGACCUUCGGCCCUCACCAUUGCUACGGAGAACUGGCACCACGAGAUGGACUGUGAGUGGUGGUGAUCGCUAUGACGUCAGCUCAAAGGUUAGGGACGUCCCCAAGCCACUCAGUUCCUUCUCUGCCCUGUAUGGAUAGGUCACCCACGGGAGGGCCUCCAGCUUCGUCGCUGGUGGGUUCCCUAAGCCGGGCACCUUGGAAGGGAGGGACAGGGAGCCCUGUGCUGAGUGACCGCGAGUGGCCUAGGCCCCUGUGAUUCGCAGUCAAGUCAGCUUCUUAGCAAGAAAAGUGCCGCAGAAGUCGUGUGGAGGCUGCCCUCCGAAUUACGGUAUGAAAAUGAAGUCACCGCACCCCAAGGCCUCCCCACAUGGCAGGCACUCACAGCAGCCUGCUUUUGCCCGAGGUCCCUGAGGCUCAGCUCUCCCCCUUCGGAAUGCAGCCCCUAGGCGGGGACCAUCCUGGGCUAACAGAGCAAGGUGGAGAGGGCAGGACACCCCUUCCAUGCAAGGCCCAGGGAGCAGAGGAGGCUCGGGGCACUGGGUGGGUGGCUUCUCAUUCUGACCAGGUUGCCUCUCUGUCCCCCAGACCUUUGCCCUAUGCCCAGCCAUUUUCCAGUGCCCAGGACAGUGGCGGCAGGGGUGGUGCUCAGCAGACUUGGGAAAUCCCACAGCUGGAGUAGCACAGGGCCGGGGGGAGGAAUGCCUGCCCUCCUUUGCCAUUUCUCACUUAUUCAACAAAUGCUGGAUGUGCACCAGCUGCCAGGUGCCAGAAACAAGCCGCAGCAAGUGCAGAGGACACACUCAAACCAAGGCAGUCUGAGAGCAGGGUCAGUUCUGUGGGUGGCGUGGGCAGCGGGGCGGUCAGUGCUCAGCAAGUGCUGUCUCAGAAGGGGACACAGGAGCAGCACCAGCCCUGGGCGGCAGGGGACACGCAGAGGGAGGUGCAGGGAGCACCCAGCAGCUGGGCUAGGACAGAGGAAGGUGACUUGUGUCUCAAGAAUGCUCGAUGGGGCUGGCAGGAGUCAGAGAGACAGGUAGAAGAGGAAGCCAGCCUGGGAAGGGCCUGAGACAUUGGAUUCACUUCACCGCAGGAUGUGGCCCCCGACAGAGCCACGUGUUCUCUGGGACACUUUACGAAUUUCGUGCUCUGGCCAAGUGAGAGGCAGGGUGGAACGAUGAGCACCAGGCCUGAGUCUGUGCGGAAGCUGAGACCCGUGGACCCAGCUACUGGCACGUUGCUUCCUGGCUGCAGUGGUCUCAGCUCUGUCCUGCUGUCCUAGCACUGGUGGGGAGAGCGACAGCUGGCUCUGCCACCGUGAAACAAGGGCUGGGAUUGCUGUGAGAGUCAUCGAGUUAUCAGACCGUGGAUUUUCAGAGACGGUGGCUGAAGGACACGCUGUGAGCUCAGGGCGGGAGUCCAGGGGCACACAGUCAGCAAUGAGGACAAGGUUCCAGGGUGUCCUGGUGGAGGGAAGGCUGGCAGGACACAGCCGGGCACCGUGCAAAUGCUGGCUCAUUCUGAAUGAGGCUGGAGGGGACACCAGACAGCAGCCAGAAGGGCAGGUGCCCGGGAGGCAGCAGCACCUGUGCCGACCACCUAGGGCUAGGGUUGGAGAAGAUGGUGGGAAGCUUGGAAGCUGCAGCGGGCACCAAGAACCAUGUCCACUCACCGUCCAGCACCUGCUCUGCACCCUAGGUGGGGUCCAACCUGGGUGCCAGGUUCGUGCCAGGCCCCGUGGGCUCUGUGCCAUGCUGCUGUGGCUCCCAGGUGCCUCCUCAGCCAUGUGACACUGCCACCUGCUUCCUCCUGGGGCUCGGCUGGGACCCCAUCCUCGGAGGACAGAGAGAGGCUCGCCAUAGGCUCUGCCACCGUGGCUGCAGAGACACUGGGACUUGUCCUGAGAACACGGGGGAGGCUGAUGGGUGGGAAGUCGGAACUUAGCAAGCGCUGGCCAGCUCAGUCCCUCCUUACCCAUUCUCCAGUGCCAGGCAGGAGAGGGUGCCACCCGGGACGCAGGGCUGAAGCCUAGUCCCGAGGUCCUGGGAUCACAAAGACAGACAAGUGGCCAGUGAGCCGGGCUGGAAGUGAGGACCCGCAGUGGACAUGGCUGCCCUGCGGAGGAGCCUCAGCCUGAGCUCACAGGGCUCACUCCCAAGUCGGGCGUCUCCAGGGGCCAGGCAGGGCGUCCAGAAGCCUAAACUUGCCUUCCUGGCAGGGGGACACUGACCCUGUGGUCCCAGCUGCCUACCCUUGACCUCUGGAGGUAGCAUCCACCCCUCAAACCCAUCUCAACACACCCUCCCUGCAGAGGAGGAAGCUGGCUCACACUGUGCCCGAUCUGCCCCACAGUGGUGCGCACACCCCCGUCUUCUCUGCAUCCCUCUUCUCCUCCCUCCCUGCUCCACCCCUCUUCCUCUCUCUUCCUCCCUCCUUCCCUUCAUCCACUCCUCCCACAUCCCCCAUCCAGCCAGUUAUGCAAUGACAUUUGUCACAGUGCUCUGGGGACCGCAGAAGGUGCUCAGGACACAGCAACGGAGAGGUAGACUGGAUUGGAGAGCCGGCUGUGGUUCCACAGCCCAGCAUUCCUAGGGAGCCAGACUUGGCCCAGGCCCAGCUCCAGCCCUUGGUGGGUGCUGACCCGGAGCGCCUCGUGGGGCUGCAGACACCUCUGGCUUGUCUAUCCCCGCACCAUCCUCUGUCUGUCCACACAUGGUCAGAGCUUCUUCCAGCAUGGCAGGCUCAUACUGUGCACAAGGUGAGUGUCACCAGGGAGCUGAAGGGCCCAGCCUGUCCCUUAGUGUAGAGGUGGAGCCAUACGACAUUGCUCCUGCCGUACUAUUGUCAUUCUCUCCCAUAGGCUUGGCUCAGCUUCAAGGAGAGAGGACAAUGUAGACAUCACCUCUCGAUGGAAAGAGUACCGAAGAACUUGCGGGUCAGGUCAGGCUCCUCGAGACUCCCCUCGCCUGACACCACAGCCAGUGGCUCCCCAACUGCUUCUGAGCUGAGCCCGAGGCCGCUGAGCCGCAUCUCCCCACUGACUGUGUCCACAGGAGAGGGUCUUGGGCAGCCACGCCUCAGCUGAGGACCCCUGGGCUCCUCUCCCAGCCAGGCCCUUCCCUGUCGGUGCCCAUGGCCGGGCGCCCCAGACCAGGCAGGGGUGGCAUGGAGCUUCUCCCAAUCCUGUGAGUGCUUUUUGCAUGUUUUGCCUUCACACCAAACUGUGUCUAGCC
ensembl:lncRNA